ACUCCUACGGGAGGCAGCAGUGGGGAAUAUUGCACAAUGGGCGCAAGCCUGAUGCAGCCAUGCCGCGUGUGUGAAGAAGGCCUUCGGGUUGUAAAGCACUUUCAGUCGUGAGGAAGGUAGUGUAGUUAAUAGCUGCAUUAUUUGACGUUAGCGACAGAAGAAGCACCGGCUAACUCCGUGCCAGCAGCCGCGGUAAUACGGAGGGUGCGAGCGUUAAUCGGAAUUACUGGGCGUAAAGCGCAUGCAGGUGGUUUGUUAAGUCAGAUGUGAAAGCCCGGGGCUCAACCUCGGAAUAGCAUUUGAAACUGGCAGACUAGAGUACUGUAGAGGGGGGUAGAAUUUCAGGUGUAGCGGUGAAAUGCGUAGAGAUCUGAAGGAAUACCGGUGGCGAAGGCGGCCCCCUGGACAGAUACUGACACUCAGAUGCGAAAGCGUGGGGAGCAAACAGGAUUAGAUACCCUGGUAGGAUAGCGUAGUCGU
rnacentral:rRNA from 1 species